ensembl:lincRNA
AUGGUAACUGGGUGACCUGGAAGGUGACACCUGGACCCACUCACCUGGAUUCGGGGCAGUGAUCACUCCUCCUGGGCCGCUGUGUGGAUCCUUGCAUGGACCAUGUAUGCCGGCUUUGACCUUGCUGGCUGCUGCCACUGUUAGGUGAGCACAGACGGCCCCACCCCCAGUGCUGGGAUUAAAUUGGCCCAUGUGGGCCGGAGGGAGCUUGGGGUUUGAACUAGAGUCACUGCGCCUUUAUCCAGAGCCAGCCCCGACUGAGGUCUCUGGGGACCGGGCGCCGUCCUGGUGGAGCAGCUUCCUGUGCUCGGUGCCCUCCUCUGUCCCCCCGAACACCCAACACCGUAGCAGCUGGGAGCACCCCACCUCUGCCGGGCUGCUGUGGAUCCGAGGACGUGGUGUGUCUUCAGGGCUGGUGGCCGCCACUGUCCCCUGGGGGGCACGGAGGGCUGGUUCCCAGCUGCAGCCCUAUUUUGCAGGUGGGUAAAUGGAGGCUCCGAGGCACAGCUGCUUUCUCAGGGCCACAGCCAGAAUGGGCCGGGUGGGCAGCAGCAGGGAGCAAAGCCAUGACCAGGUCGCCCCCCAGCUCGCCCGCCGUGUGCAGGGGCGGUGCUGCCCGCUGCCCGCUGUUUGUGUAGGGCGUCUUCCUCACAUCCCUCCCUGUGCGCUGCCAGCAACCCGUCCCCAGAGGGCCGCCGGGCGGUGAGAGCCUGGGAAUCCUCUUAUCUCUCGGAGCAGGAUGCGUCCUGUGCUGUGUCCCCAGCGAGGCUUCCAAGAGUGGUGAUGAGCUUGCAGAUUCCAGAGGGUGAUUGCUCCAGCUCAGGGGUGGGCGGGGGGGGGCAUGUUUUGUUUCCCAGGCCCCUCGGCACUGCGGCCAGGCUCCUGCCACCACCCCUCUACCCGUGUCCCUGGCCCUUUCAGCUGCCCCGAAUCCAGGAACCCCUGUGCAGGCCGGGCCUCAGACAGCCAGUGUGAACCGGCCAGGGGUGAGUUCCUGUUUCCGCCCAUUCUUCCCACUGGGCAGUGGGUAGCUCCCGGCUCCCGCAGGGGAGGGGCAGCAUGGUGCGGUGCGCGGGGUGGCCUGCAGGGGCGCUGGGCAGGGGACAGGCCGCGCCCCCGACAUUGGUGUCAGACCGAAGUGGGACAAUCCUGGAGAUGCUUCCGAGAGCUGACCAGACUCUGCGCUCCCACCUCUGACCUCCUUGCCGCACAAGUUCCUGUCCUGGCCUCACAGAGGGAUAUGGGUGCCUGCCACGGUGAUCCUCGCCCUGCACAUCCCCGCAGCAGAGAGCCACAGCCCCAGAGACCUGUCACCCACUCAGUGCCUCCCAACGGCUCUACGCCAGUCUUCCGUUCUCCUGUCACCUUUACUGUCACCCAUGUCUCUGGUCUCCAGACGUCACAGCGUCAGCGGGUCUGCCCCGCCUGCAUUUCCUACCUAAUCAGGAUGUCACAGUUGUGUCUGCAUUGAAGAGACACAGAGGGAGCAUCAGGGACCUGAAGAAAUAAAGCUCGUUCUCUUCAUGUGUUCUGGGUGCUAAAGACCUCCAGCACCUUCCUCAUUCUUCUGUGAACUCUGGAAGUCGGCCUCGGGGUCACCAAGUGCAGAGGGUUGGGGGUCUGUGGUUCACAGCCAGAGAAAAGUGUCCCUUUCCCCAGGGUCGUGGAGUCUGCUGGCUGCCACAGGCUUCUGGCAGCUCCACAGUUGGAUUUCUGGUUUCCUGGUCGAGCGGCCAGGUGCACUGUGUGGGCCCUGCACCUGCCAGUGCCCCUCUCCCCGUGCCCUGGUUGGGCCCAAGACACGGGAGCCACCUGGAGACUGGGCAGGGUGGGGUGAGCAGGCACCUUCCAGCCAGGGUGUUCCACAAGUGGUCUGCACAGCAGCUGCAGGCUGGGGAGGUGGACACGGGUCCCACGCCACGUCUGGGACUCUAUUCUGGUAUCCAGGGCAUGUGGAGCAACUGAGAAGCGGUGUCCCCCUUGUCAGCAUGAGUGGGAACUCACCCCGAGUCCAUUUUCACAUCUGCUAAGCAGGCACAACAGGGCCUAUUGUGACAGUUGAUCCUCACACGUUGCUCUCUGGGUUGAGAGAUGUCCACUAAGGCGGUCGAGCACCUUCUGCAGCGUGGCUGGGUGGCCUGCAGGUGUGGCCGUGGUUGCCGUGUCUGGGCCUCUCUGCUGGUGCUCUUCUGCUCUGCUUCCUGGCUGCUGUGAGCCGAGCAUCCUUCCUCUGCCACGUCCUUCUGCCGCCAUGCUCCCGCCUGGGAGUGGGCCAGCCGUGAACUGAGUACCCCAAGCCAUGAGCCAGAUAAACCCCACCUCUCUUAAGUUGUGGUGGUGCUGGGUCCCAGGGACAGGGCAGCUGAUCACUACACCGGCCUCCUGAUACUACUUUUCAGACAGAGCGGAGACGUCUCUGCAGAGCACACAUCAGUGCUCUGUGGCUACUGUUUGGUCAGCGUCAUUUCCGAGGCAGAGGUGAAGCCAUAUUUGAGCACAAGUGCCAGGUGACUGUGUCUCGCCUCCCUCUACCAAGCUGCAGUUCCACGGCGCCGCGUCUUGCCCGUCGUGCCUGAUUCCCAACUAUGGCCGACAGAGUGACUCCCCGAGGAGUCUGCACCCGCAGAGCAGGAGUCCGUGCUGUCACGUGGCCGAAGGGACUUCACAGAUGUCCUGGGUGAAGGGUCCUGAGCCAAGGUGACCAGGUCAGCGCAGGUGGAGGCAGGCGGCGGGACGCGGAGGGGGCUCGCCCAGCCUGGGGCAUCCAGCUUGAACCCAGACCACGAGGGACAGGAUGCAAAGGCCACGUCCCUUCUCCUGCCAGCCUGAGGAGCUGCCCCUGGCACCCGGUCACGGUAAGAAAGCCAGGCUCAGGAAGACUGGGACUGGCCAGCAGAGAGCGGGCGCGGCGUCCCCCAUGGCACGGGUUCCCCUGCUGGGUUUGGGACCUCUGUGUGCAGCGCCUGGCACCUUUGCACCAAGUGGCAGAUGGGAACAUUCGCCAGCAGCCGGAGGUGGCGCCUUCCCCAGAGCCCAGUGCAGGGGAGAAACCGGGGUCCCAGGCCGGAGCCACGGGGCAGCAGCUGUGUCAGCCCGGGAGGGGACGCGCCCCCCACUGCGCCUGUCUGUUCCUCCUGCAGCUCCCCAGGCUCCUGCUUCCAUGGGGCACCGCAUCCAGCUUGAUUGCUGUUAAAUGUUGAAAACUAAUUUGGGGAGCGAUUUUCAGUUUGAGGUCAGUGCCAGACGCGAAGGCUCCCGGGGCAGCCGGGCCAGCAGGCAGGCAGGCGCUCCUGCAGGCUGGGAUAUUCGAUCCCUUGGUUCUGCUCGGGACAAGAAGCCCAGUCAGAAAACCCUGAUUUAUGGCCCAGCUCGGGCUUCCUGUUACUCUAAACCUGAGCAUGCAGCCAGCACCACCGCCUCCCUCUGUACCUGCCUCACUGCUCACACAGCAAGGUCGGGCUGAAAAAUUGGGGUUUCCGGGGCUCUCAGGCUGCCAUUUGAAAAAUUAGGGUGAAUGUCACAGGGCGUGACCUUUCCGAUUUCCAAGUCCACUCUUGGUGGCUCCUGGCACCAUCCCAGUGAUGCACGUGCAUCUCCAACUGGUUCCCAGAGGAACCUGGGUCUUUGCUGCAGUCGCCCCGGCCCCUGGCAGGCCCCACACCACACGGCCACCUUGCCUGGCCUUGCGCGUGAUGCACGUCUUACGUAGGACAGUCCACUCAGUGGACAGGGUGAGGCCUUGAGGCUCGUGUGUCCACCCUGGCCCCUCCUGUCCUCACCACGUCCCUCCUGCCUGCAGACUCUGCAGAAUCCUUGGCCACCUGAUCACUGUGUCUGCUGUAUUUGUGUGUAUUUGAGGCUGACCCGGGUUCUCAGGGUGUGAUUCCUUUCUGCACCAUGUUUUUUGUCCAUCUAAAGCACUGCGUAUAAUCCCCACCCAGAGAAGGGUUAGGGUUCGGGUUUGUUGACUGAAUAAGUGAGUGAAUGAAUAGUUGCACACAGGUGUUGCCUGGGUCUAGCAUGGUCCAUAGACCUCAGGAGCCCUUGUUGACUGAUCUGGAGAGGCGGGGGCUUCCUGGGCAGCAGGCCUGUUCCUCCUCAGUGUGAGUAGGUGAGGAUCUAUGACAUGGAUAAGCAAGCCUCAGCCUCAAAGGCAGACAGCGUGCUGUUCACCGGGCCUCCCGCUGGCUGCGGUCUCUGCAGAUGAGGCUCCAGUGGCUGCUGCCCAGCCCUGGCCAAGUUGGGUGGAGCUCAAGAUCCAUCUGCCCAUUUCCCACCGGCCUGCUGCAGCCACCCUGGUUGGGCCUGGGAGCGUUGUCCGUCCGUCCAUCCAUCCGUCUGCGGAGCAAGCCACCUGCAUGCUUAGGGCUCGGGCCAGGUGUGCCCGGGGCAGCAGUGUGGGCACCACGGGCUCGGCGUCCAGGCCGUGGACGUGCGGUCAGGGCUGAUGCAGGGUAACGUGUAUCUUCAGGCCCAGCUUCCCCUCUGCUCCUUCAGCCCCCUCGGAACACAGCCGUGAAGCUGAAGACCUGGCUGCAGCCCAGGUGCCGUUUCAGGGACUGCGUGUUCCCAGUGCCAGGCCAGGAGCCCCGGAUUCAGAGGAGGCGGCUGCUGUCCCAGGAGCCUGGAGCUCCAGGAAUCCCCUUAAACAACGUGGGACUGUAAGGAGGUGAUCGCUUCCUGCAUGUUAGGACCCAGGAGAAGUUCCAGAGUUUUGGAAAGAGAUGUAAAGCGAUUAACAUGUAUUGUUUUAUAUUGAUAUAUUGGCUGC